AGGGCAGGGUUCGGGGUUCAGGGGCGGGGUGUUCACGGCGAGACCAAAAGGCAGGCAGGAGCCUCCGGGUUCCCUGCUGUGUCAUCGGGAGAGGCCGCGGGGGUUGGCCGGGGGCGGGUCGGGGGCGGGGCCGGACCUGACGGCGGCGGCCUAGUUCAGUCCAGCUCUCCGCACGCCAGGGUCGGGUGCUCGCCAGCAUGUCCUUCAUCCCAGUGGCCGAGGAUUCCGACUUCCCCAUCCACAACCUGCCCUACGGCGUCUUCUCCACCAGAGGCGACCCAAGACCGAGGAUAGGCGUGGCUAUUGGCGAGCAGAUCCUGGACCUCAGCGUCAUCAAGCAUCUCUUCACUGGACCUGUCCUCUCCAAACACCAGGAUGUCUUCAGUGAGCCUACACUCAACAGCUUCAUGGGCCUGGGGCAGGCUGCCUGGAAGGAGGCAAGAGUGUUCUUGCAGAACUUGCUGUCUGUGAGUCAAGCCAGGCUCAGAGAUGACACGGAACUUCGGAAGCGUGCAUUCAUCUCCCAAGUGUCUGCCACGAUGCACCUUCCAGCCGCCAUAGGAGACUACACAGACUUCUAUUCCUCUCGGCAGCACGCUACCAACAUCGGAGUCAUGUUCAGAGGCAAGGAGAAUGCAUUGAUGCCAAAUUGGCUGCACUUACCAGUGGGCUACCAUGGCCGUGCCUCCUCUGUCGUGGUGUCUGGUACUCCUAUCCGAAGGCCCAUGGGACAGAUGCAACCUGAUGACUCGAAGCCUCCUGUAUAUGGUGCCUGCAAGCUCUUGGACAUGGAGCUGGAAAUGGCUUUUUUUGUAGGCCCUGGAAACAGAUUGGGAGAGCCGAUCCCCAUUUCCAAGGCCCAUGAGCACAUUUUUGGAAUGGUCCUGAUGAAUGACUGGAGUGCACGAGACAUUCAGAAGUGGGAGUAUGUCCCUCUUGGGCCAUUCCUCGGGAAGAGUUUUGGGACCACCAUCUCUCCAUGGGUGGUGCCCAUGGAUGCUCUCAUGCCCUUUGCUGUGCCUAACCCAGAGCAGGACCCCAGGCCCCUGCCGUAUCUCUGCCAUGACCGGCCCUACACAUUUGACAUCAACCUCUCCGUUGCCCUGAAAGGAGAAGGAAUGAGCCAGGCGGCUACCAUAUGCAAGUCCAAUUUUAAGUACAUGUACUGGACGAUGCUGCAGCAGCUCACUCACCAUUCUGUCAAUGGCUGCAACCUGCAGCCGGGGGACCUUCUGGCUUCUGGGACCAUCAGCGGGCCGGAGCCAGAAAGCUUCGGCUCCAUGUUGGAACUGUCGUGGAGGGGAACAAAGCCCAUAGAGCUGGGGAACGGACAGGCCAGGAAGUUUCUGCUGGACGGGGAUGAAGUCAUCAUAACAGUAGACAUUUAUUGAGCACCUACACGGAGUCCCACCCUGGAGUUCUGGUGAUGAAAAGACAAAUGAAGUCUCUGCUCUUCUGGGUUUACGUUCCAGUGUCAUCAUGACUGCACUGUUUCAGAUGAGAAAGUGAAGGCAUCGUGGGGUUAAAUGACUUGCCCAAGAUCUUGUAGGCAAUAAUGAAGGACGUCUGUUUCCCCUCCAGGCAGUUUGUCUUCAGAACCUCCAUGUUUAACACCUUUGAUACUGUCUAAAGCACCUAUCAGAGCACUUGUUACCUUGUGAGUGCUUAAAAAUAGUGAUGGUCUUUUCAUAGUCAUCUUUAUUUCCAUUGCUGUUUUUUUCAGAACCCAGUUUUUAGAAGGAUUUGCCUCUUAACCCCUUCUUCUUCUUUUUUUUUUUUUAGACAGAGUCUCACUCUGUUGCCUAGGCUGGAGUGCAAUGGGGGGGAUCUUGGCUCACUGCAACCUCCGCCUCCUGGGUUCAAGUGAUUCUCCUGCCUCAGCCUCCCAAGUAGCUGAGACUACAGUCACGUGCCACCACACCCAGCUAAUUUUUGUAUUUUUAGUAGAGAUGAGGUUUCAACUUAUUGGCCAGGGUGGUCUCGAUCUCUUGACCUUGUGAUCUGCCCGCCUUGGCAUCUGAAAGUGUUGAGAUUACAGGGGUGAGCCACCGCACCCGGCCUGGUCCCUUCUUAAUGGGAUCUCUACAUGAAGGGCAGGAAUCAGCGGCAGCUGGUGGCCCAUGGAACAGCCCCCCAGGAUGAGGUGGUGCCUGGCUUCUGCACUCACACUCCAUGUCCUGCUCUCCACCUGCUGACCACACAUUUCCCUCGGGAUGCCUAAUUGUCACCCUUGCCCCUCCUUCCUUGACUGUCUUGGUAUGGCUGCCAAUCUGUGGGCUGGAAGCUUGCACCCAUUUCAUCAGCACCGUCUAUUGGGCAUCGUUGGAAAAUGCCCUGCCAUCUCUGUGCCGCGGACCUACUCCACACCACCACCCUUCCAGGCCUGGAAUUCUGGAAGAGCUUUUGCAGCAGGCCUCUGCAAUCCAUCCUGCUCAUGGUGCCUGAAAAAUGAGGCUUCGUGUUUGCUUUUCCCAUUACUCUUCUGCUCAAGGUCUUCUCAUGGAUCCUGUUUCAUCAAGUCAAUAUCCUCCUCUUUGAAUCUGCUCUACCCGCUUAGUCCUGUUCUCAAAUGUAACCCUCUGUGAUAAGGACGUUGCUCUUCUCAUUGCGUGCAAACCUUUGGAUAUACGCUGGCUCAGCCCAAAUGUUGCCUUCUCUGCUUGCUCAGGUAGAAUCAAUCUCCAUGUCCUCUCUGCUAGCAAUUCAUGGAAAACACAGAAUUCUGAUUAAUUGUGAUUAAAACGUGUCAGUUUCCAUGCUUAACUAAAAGCUUGUGUUAGUUUUCUGUGGCUGCAGUAACAUAUUACUGCAAACUUUGUGGCUUAAAACAACUGAAAUGUAUUCUCUUACAGCUCCGUAAGGUGUAAGUUCGAACUCCACGUGUUGGCAGUGCUGCGCUCCUGGAGACUCUGGGGAGGGUCUGUUCCUUGCCCCUUCCAGCUUCUGGUGGAAGCCUCUAUGGCUUGUGGUCACAUCACACUGAUCUCUGCCCCCAUGGUCACAUCUGCGUCAUCUCCUUUGCCUCUUUCUUAUAACACACGUGACAGUAUUUGCGACCCACCUAGAAGUCUCCUCAUUUUAACAUUCUAACUUAAUUACAUCUCCAAAAUAUUUACUAUAUAAGGCAAUGUUUACAAGUCCUAGGGAUUUAGGCCCUGAUGUCUUUGGGAACCAUACAUUUGUCCACUGCAGAACUCUUGGAGAGCAAAGUUCAGUCCAAGUAGCAGCCACGUGGUACAUGCUCAGAAUGGCUGUUGGUUAGUUCAUUGAAUCAAGUGGAUUUGGUAGAGAAGAGGCAGGAAGAGCUCAAAACAGCAGAUGAUACCCAUUAUUAGGCAAAAAACCCAUUUUGCUCCCAUUUCUGCAGCCUAAUUAUACCUCUCUAAUUUGAAUUUGACAAUAUUUACUGAAUCUCUGCUAGGAGCCAACCAUAUUGUAGGCACAUCCACCUUCCUUAUUUCAUUUUUUUUUUUUUUUUGAGAUGGAGUUUCGUUCUUGUUACCCAGGCUGGAGUGCAAUGGCACCAUCUCGGCUCACCGCAACCUCUGCCUCCUGGGUUCAGGCAAUUCUCCUGCCUCAGCUUCCUGAGUAGCUGGGAUUACAGGCACGCGCCACCAUGCCCAGCUAAUUUUUGUAUUUUUAGUAGAGACGGGGUUUCACCAUCUUGACCAGGAUGGCCUCGAUCUCUUGAUCCACCCGCCUCGGCCUUCCAAAGUGCUGGGAUUAUCGGUAUGAGCUGCCACGCUUGGCCCCUUAUUUCAUUUUUUACUCACAGUAAUGUCAUUGCCCUGAUUUUGCAGAGUAGAAAACUUAGGCUGAUAGAAGGCAAGUUGCUUGACAACAGUCCCACAGCUGGGGAAGCCAGGUUGCAACUGAGGUCCUCUGAGUCCCCGGAUUCAUUUCUCGUCUUUCUGCAUUGCUUGCCAGACCUACUGCAGACUUUCGUCAUGGUUCUGUGGAUUGAGUGAAAGCAUUUUCUGAAGUUUUGAUUUGGGGAAUGGAAGGAAAGAGAUGGAAUGGCAGAAGAGAAGAUGAUGGCGUUAGCUCUCUGUUGUCUGUGCUAAGGGCCCCUGACUAAGCCGUGCUAGACCAGGCAGCUGUCCAGGGCCUCGGAGGAAGGAGACUGGUGUUAAGCAGUAGGAAUGCACAUGUGUUCUUGACAUUUGAGCCAGAGAAGGCGGGAGAAAGGAGCCAAGUUGCCCUGAGAGUUGUUUCUAUGUUUGUUUGUGUCCACAAUGCCUUGCUCUGAAGGAUUUUUGGAGGCCAGCGGAGAAUUCAGGAAAAGGCAGUUCCUUGGAUCUGAGGAAGCACAUGUUGGCAAGUGGAGAGGGAAAUGGGAACAGAUGGGUGAAAUCCCCUGGAACCAAGAAAGAAGAAUUAUAAUUUGCUAAGAGGAGAGGCAUACAUUAUGUAUUCAUACGAAGAAAAAGGAGAAUUUCAUACAGAGGGGGAUCACUGAAGAAUUCAAGAUACUGCCAGGGGGACGGUUACCGCAUCGGCUUUGGUCAGUGUGCCGGAAAAGUGCUGCCUGCUCUCUUGCCAGCAUGAGAUUUUCUCUGCUCUUCUGGAAACAGGGCUCAAGCACCCCUCCCAGCCCUGUGACUGGGGUCCUCCCUCGGGCUUAGGCCUGCACCUUCAUUCAGUGACAAAUAAAGCCAUUGUGCUCAGAGGCCUGCACAGCCGCAGGUGCAGAUGUA